GGUUUUCUCCACUGCACCUCAUGCACAAUUGCUGGUACCAAGCAUCCCCCCAGAGGCUGUGUGCUCGAUUGAAGAGGAACAACUUUCCCUAAAUAGAGAACAGGUCUUCAGUAAGGCAGAGUAUGUGAGAAACUGCACUCCUUCCUAGAACCUUCAAAGGAGCUCUCACGGUUUUGUUUCUCUAUGUUUACAGUUCAAGAUAUAGUUAAAUUUGGAAAGUGAAAGCAGCAUGGGCUUGGAGACACUCCUC
rnacentral:sRNA from 14 species